rnacentral:rRNA from 1 species
CGAAUGGGGAAACCCAGUGCAAUUCGUUGCACUAUCGUUAACUGAAUACAUAGGUUAACGAGGCGAACCGGGGGAACUGAAACAUCUAAGUACCCCGAGGAAAAGAAAUCAACCGAGAUUCCCCCAGUAGCGGCGAGCGAACGGGGAGCAGCCCAGAGUCUGAAUCAGCUUGUGUGUUAGUGGAACGGUCUGGAAAGUCCGACGGUACAGGGUGAUAGUCCCGUACACCAAAAUGCACAGGUUGUGAACUCGAAGAGUAGGGCGGGACACGUGGUAUCCUGUCUGAAUAUGGGGGGACCAUCCUCCAAGGCUAAAUACUCCUGACUGACCGAUAGUGAACCAGUACCGUGAGGGAAAGGCGAAAAGAACCCCGGCGAGGGGAGUGAAAAAGAACCUGAAACCGUGUACGUACAAGCAGUGGGAGCACCUUCGGGUGUGACUGCGUACCUUUUGUAUAAUGGGUCAGCGACUUAUAUUCUGUAGCAAGGUUAACCGUAUAGGGGAGCCGCAGGGAAACCGAGUCUUAACUGGGCGUUAAGUUGCAGGGUAUAGACCCGAAACCCGGUGAUCUAGCCAUGGGCAGGUUGAAGGUUGGGUAACACUAACUGGAGGACCGAACCGACUAAUGUUGAAAAAUUAGCGGAUGACUUGUGGCUGGGGGUGAAAGGCCAAUCAAACCGGGAGAUAGCUGGUUCUCCCCGAAAGCUAUUUAGGUAGCGCCUCGUGAACUCAUCUUCGGGGGUAGAGCACUGUUUCGGCUAGGGGGUCAUCCCGACUUACCAACCCGAUGCAAACUACGAAUACCGAAGAAUGUUAUCACGGGAGACACACGGCGGGUGCUAACGUCCGUCGUGAAGAGGGAAACAACCCAGACCGCCAGCUAAGGUCCCAAAGUCAUGGUUAAGUGGGAAACGAUGUGGGAAGGCACAGACAGCCAGGAUGUUGGCUUAGAAGCAGCCAUCAUUUAAAGAAAGCGUAAUAGCUCACUGGUCGAGUCGGCCUGCGCGGAAGAUGUAACGGGGCUAAACCAUGCACCGAAGCUGCGGCAGCGACACUAUGUGUUGUUGGGUAGGGGAGCGUUCUGUAAGCCUGCGAAGGUGUGCUGUGAGGCAUGCUGGAGGUAUCAGAAGUGCGAAUGCUGACAUAAGUAACGAUAAAGCGGGUGAAAAGCCCGCUCGCCGGAAGACCAAGGGUUCCUGUCCAACGUUAAUCGGGGCAGGGUGAGUCGACCCCUAAGGCGAGGCCGAAAGGCGUAGUCGAUGGGAAACAGGUUAAUAUUCCUGUACUUGGUGUUACUGCGAAGGGGGGACGGAGAAGGCUAUGUUAGCCGGGCGACGGUUGUCCCGGUUUAAGCAUGUAGGCUGAUUGUCCAGGCAAAUCCGGAUAAUCAAGGCUGAGGUGUGAUGACGAGGCACUACGGUGCUGAAGUAACAAAUGCCCUGCUUCCAGGAAAAGCCUCUAAGCAUCAGGUAACAUUAAAUCGUACCCCAAACCGACACAGGUGGUCAGGUAGAGAAUACCAAGGCGCUUGAGAGAACUCGGGUGAAGGAACUAGGCAAAAUGGUGCCGUAACUUCGGGAGAAGGCACGCUGGUGUGUAGGUGAAGUCCCUGCGGAUGGAGCUGAGACCAGUCGAAGAUACCAGCUGGCUGCAACUGUUUAUUAAAAACACAGCACUGUGCAAACACGAAAGUGGACGUAUACGGUGUGACGCCUGCCCGGUGCCGGAAGGUUAAUUGAUGGGGUUAUCCGUAAGGAGAAGCUCUUGAUCGAAGCCCCGGUAAACGGCGGCCGUAACUAUAACGGUCCUAAGGUAGCGAAAUUCCUUGUCGGGUAAGUUCCGACCUGCACGAAUGGCGUAAUGAUGGCCAGGCUGUCUCCACCCGAGACUCAGUGAAAUUGAACUCGCUGUGAAGAUGCAGUGUACCCGCGGCAAGACGGAAAGACCCCGUGAACCUUUACUAUAGCUUGACACUGAACAUUGAGCCUUGAUGUGUAGGAUAGGUGGGAGGCUUUGAAGCGUGGACGCCAGUCUGCGUGGAGCCAACCUUGAAAUACCACCCUUUAAUGUUUGAUGUUCUAACGUUGGCCCCUGACCGGGGUUGCGGACAGUGUCUGGUGGGUAGUUUGACUGGGGCGGUCUCCUCCCAAAGCGUAACGGAGGAGCACGAAGGUUAGCUAAUCCUGGUCGGACAUCAGGAGGUUAGUGCAAUGGCAUAAGCUAGCUUGACUGCGAGCGUGACGGCGCGAGCAGGUGCGAAAGCAGGUCAUAGUGAUCCGGUGGUUCUGAAUGGAAGGGCCAUCGCUCAACGGAUAAAAGGUACUCCGGGGAUAACAGGCUGAUACCGCCCAAGAGUUCAUAUCGACGGCGGUGUUUGGCACCUCGAUGUCGGCUCAUCACAUCCUGGGGCUGAAGUAGGUCCCAAGGGUAUGGCUGUUCGCCAUUUAAAGUGGUACGCGAGCUGGGUUUAGAACGUCGUGAGACAGUUCGGUCCCUAUCUGCCGUGGGCGCUGGAGAAUUGAGGGGGGCUGCUCCUAGUACGAGAGGACCGGAGUGGACGCAUCACUGGUGUUCGGGUUGUCAUGCCAAUGGCACUGCCCGGUAGCUAAAUGCGGAAGAGAUAAGUGCUGAAAGCAUCUAAGCACGAAACUUGCCCCGAGAUGAGUUCUCCCUGAGACUUUAAGUCUCCUGAAGGAACGUUGAAGACGACGACGUUGAUAGGCCGGGUGUGUAAGCGCAGCGAUGCGUUGAGCUAACCGGUACUAAUGAACCGUGAGGCUUAACCUU